GCUGCUUGUGCCCUGCUGUGCUACUGCCUCAGUCACUUCCUGCUUGGUCAAGACCACAGCUGCUGAUGUCACAGCUGAGGCACAUCAAAAAGGCUGCCUGAUUCAAAGAAAGCUGCCGGAUAAAUCAUAGAGCACAGACACUUCUACCUCAUGCUCUUAUGGGACUUUAGGAACCAAACAUAAGCACCUAUGGAAAAUGCAC
rnacentral:lncRNA from 1 species